GGCUUCCUGCUAAUACUGCUUAUAGGAAGUCGUACCUGCCCGGUGAUUUUUUAAACGGCCGCAGUACCCUGACUGUGCAAAGGUAGCAUAAUAACUUGCCUUAUAAUUGAAGGCUGGAAUGAAUGGUUUGACGUGGGUAAACCUGUCUCUAUGAAACUUUUUAGAAUUUCAUCUAUAAGUGAAAAAGCUUAUAUACUAUUAAAAGACAAGAAGACCCUAUCGAGCUUAAAAAAAAAUUAGUAGAUACAUGGCACCGUCAAUGUAAACUAAGUUACUAAAAGAAUUUUAGUUGGGGCAACUAAGGAGCAUACAAAACCUCCUUUAUCUAUUUACAUUAAGUUAUGAUCCAAACUUUUUUGAACAUAGAAUUAGUUACCGUAGGGAUAACAGCAUUAUUUUUUUUAAGAGCUCAAAUCGAAAAAAAAGUUUGUGACCUCGAUGUUGGACCAGAAUAUCCCGAAGAUGCAGAAGUCUUCAAUGGUUGGUCUGUUCGACCAUUAAAAUUCU
rnacentral:rRNA from 1 species